UGUGACCAAUCAAAUCUCAUCCUUUUGAAAUAUGCAAAUAUCUAAAGCCGCUGUAUUUCAAAAUACUGAACAACAGCUGACAUUUAACGGCGUAAUUCUGCUUUCUAAAUCGAAUUUAAUCAUUGAUGCCAAGUGGUAUGUUAUUCCUUAGAAUUUAUUGUAUGACAUUCUGAAGUUGAUUUUUGCUUGUAAUAUUCAUAUGUAAAAUCUAAGGUGUGUUUUCUUAUGACAUGUUCGUCGCGAUUUUUGUCAGUCGCUCGCGCCAGCACAGCCGUCAGGCCUGCGCCUGCCGACGACCGAAGGGGCAGCUAUCCGGCACGGCCCGGAGCUCAGGACUCGUCCUAACCCAGAGAGCUCCCGCCCGCGCAGCGGGCGGGAGCCCAGAAGCUUACCGUGUAUUUUACCAUUGUCACCGGACAAGGGUGAUUUAUGGUCUAAAUAUUUCUCCAAAUGAAUUGUGAAAACAGAAAGUAUACAAUUAUCACGAUUAUAUGGAUGAAGGUCUAACGAGUGGCAGAUUCCUGACAUCUGGGCACAGUCUGGAACCUCAAAAAAACGAAAAGUUCUCUCCUUCUACCCCGUCUCGAUCGGCCAUUUUUGUUAAAAAUCGUAACAAAAUGGCCGAUCGAGACUGGGCGGGAGCUCUCUGGGUUAGACUCGUCCGUGUUAAUAGUCAAACAUAGACAGCUGGCAGCCGUCUGUUUCGAGGAGUUUUUUAAAUUUAACAUUUAAAAAAAAAAAUUUCUCCUCAUACACAGACGGCUCGCUAUCGUGCAAUUUUUGUCUUUAAUGAAUCAAACUUUUGAAAAUUAACGCAACCGAAAUGCAAAUUAAUAAUAAUAAUAUUCCCUCUUGCCUCUUCUUGGCAAUAAUUGCCAAAAAACGGGGAAAAUCAAGUUAAAAGGAACAAAAACAGUGACUUACCUCUGCUGUCGCGCAACUUCACUGCCCUGUUUUAUCCGAACUUAAUACACAUAAACAUAUGGCCAUUGAGUCCCCUGUGCUGCCUGUAGUACAGAUCGCGCUAGAAGUACUAGAACUUCGGUCUCUGUAUUUGGUGAGUGAAGCCAACGGAGUUCAGCUGAACAACCAACAACAGAGACCGAAGCUUUUGGUCUAAGUCAAACAUAGAUAUAGUACUCUUCUUCUUUGGGCAGUAGAGCCAGAGGCGCUGGUCAGAAAAUUGGGAUUGUCCCAGUUUACAGGGACUGUCUCAGUUUUCAAAGAUUUCUCCACACAAGAAAUCUAGGAAAGUUCAUUCACCUGUCAAUAGGGUGUCUGGAGAAAAAAAUUAUUUUUCUUAUUUCAAGAAAAUAUCACAUUUUCUUUGUGAAUUUGAAGAGAAAUGACCUUCCUUCAGACUAACAGAAAUGUAACAUUUAAAAAAAAAAUCCAAUUAUAGGCUGCAAAAAAGAAGAAAGAAAUUAGGUCAAUUUUCAGUAUUUCUCUGCCAUAAGCCCAUAGGCCCGUAUUCUGAAGUCGGGUUUAACUUAAACCUCAGGUUUAAGUCCGGUCUAACUCCAGUCUAAAUCUCACUUUAGACCGCGGGUUUAAGAAUUCACUUUCUGAAGUCCGGUUUAACUUAAAACCUCGGUCUAAGUCGAGUCUAACUUGCGCAAAAUUUAGACUCCGCCUAGGGGUAGUUUAAACCAUGGUUUAACUUUCAAAAUGGCUGAUCUGCUAGCUGCCUUGCGACGGGGAGAGCAAAUGCUCGAAUGGAAUCAAAGACAGAUCGAAAGGCCAUUGGUGGAAAGGAAAAACCCCUUUCAUAUUUAUGAGAACAACGAAUUUCUGCAGCGGUAUCGCUUCACGAAGCAAACUGCGUUACACAUUAUCGAGGAACUGACGCCAGCUUUGGAGAGACACACAAGUCGCACUAAUGCGGUGCCAGAGCACCUUCAAGUUCUCACCGCCAUGCGUUUUUACGCAGUUGGCAGUAUGCAAUCACAAUGGACUGCUAAUCAACCUUGUUGCCAGGUGGCCAGGAGCAACUCAUGAUUCCAAAAUAUUCAGAGAAUGCCAACUGAAAAAAAAUCUUGAACGAGAAAGUCAUGAAGAAAAAUGGCUUCUUGGCGACAGUGGGUGGAGGCUACAACCAAACUUUUCAGACAGACAUGAGAUACAAAGUUACACAAGUAUAAAUGGUUGAAGGUUUAGGAGAGCCAGACAAGAAGGCAGGAAAUGUGAUGUCACUUUUACUUCAAUGAACAUGGACAGCAGCAGGAGCAACAACAGCAUCAGCAGCCGAAACUACAACUGCAGUAAGAGUUGCAACAACCACACCGACAACAUCAACAGCAGCAGGAGCUCCAACAACCAUGCAGGGAACAUCGGGCGCAACAUAAAUAACUUCAUCAAGAGAUGCAACAACCACAGUGGUAAACAUCAACAGCAGUAGCAACAAUGACAGUAGAAACAAAGCCAGCAGCAAGGAUUCUAACAAGCAAUCAUACAAGCAACAACACAAGCGACAACAUCAAUAAAUGCAUCAGGAGAUGCAACAGCCACACUCGUAAACAGCAGCAGGAGCAGCGAUGACAACAGCAACCACACAGGCAACACCUUGAGCAACGUCAGUAGCAAAAAUAACUUAUUGCACCAGGAGAUGCAACAACCACACCCACAACACCAAGAGCAGCAAAAACAAACAGCAAUUCCAGCAAUCACGAUGACAACAGCAGCAGCAACACCAACAACGCUAAUGAACAUUGAAAAAACUUGUACAAAAGUCAAUGAGGUCGCAUUUUUCAGACAUUAUCAGACAUUGAUUAAAAAGUGCACAAUAAUUUAUUUGGGUUAAAGAAAAUUAUGUUUGAAAAAAUGUGUACAUUUGAAGAUGUUUACUAUGUAUUGAUUGAUAUAAUAUAGUUUUGAAGAUG